rnacentral:rRNA from 1 species
AACGAACGCUGGCGGCAUGCCUAACACAUGCAAGUCGAACGAGACCUUCGGGUCUAGUGGCGCACGGGUGCGUAACGCGUGGGAAUCUGCCCAAAGGUUCGGAAUAACUCGGGGAAACCCGUGCUAAUACCGGAUGAUGUCUUCGGACCAAAGAUUUAUCGCCUUUGGAUGAGCCCGCGUCGGAUUAGCUAGUUGGUGAGGUAAAGGCUCACCAAGGCGACGAUCCGUAGCUGGUCUGAGAGGAUGACCAGCCACACUGGGACUGAGACACGGCCCAGACUCCUACGGGAGGCAGCAGUGGGGAAUAUUGGACAAUGGGCGAAAGCCUGAUCCAGCAAUGCCGCGUGAGUGAUGAAGGCCUUAGGGUUGUAAAGCUCUUUUACCCGGGAUGAUAAUGACAGUACCGGGAGAAUAAGCCCCGGCUAACUCCGUGCCAGCAGCCGCGGUAAUACGGAGGGGCUAGCGUUGUUCGGAAUUACUGGCGUAAAGCGCACGUAGGCGGCUUUG